GCGAAUCGUAACCUGUAUGGUGUUUAACCUAUUAAGGAAACUCUAUUACCAAGUUUAAAAAUAGCUAACUCGUAAAUAUACUGAAUGAACAAACUGAGAACAUUAAAGCACACUAUGUAGAUAUUACUGGGCUAAAUUGCACGUUUAUAAGGAAGACAAGCGCCCGCCUCUCUCUUCACUGCCAAGCAAAUCCAAGGAAAUAGCAAAAGAAUCGAAGCCUAUUGCCAGAAUUAGCUAACGUUAUAUCAAUAUCUACUUUGCUCGCCUGCAAGUUUACGCCACAACUUUCGUUUGUACAGAAAAGUGCACCUGUUUUACCUGCACAGAGCAGAGACCCUGAAACACGCGCCACCUAUCUUCACUGGUCGGGAUAAUUGCGGAACGCCAAACGUGAGCAUCUUCGGGAAAACGUGUUUAUUUUUUUAUUUUUUAUGAUCUGAGAGAAAGGAGCAGAGCCGGACCACCUUGCCGUCCACGCAAGAAUAAUAUUUGAAGAAAGUUGGAACACACUCCCCCUCCGUCUCCAACCCCCAACCUCUACAACCAUUGAGACAAGAAAGCAUCUAACGGAAAUCAUGCUGGAGCAACUAGCUGACCCUCACCGACCAAGGAUCAACAAACAGCACCGGAAUAUCUGGUUACUUGCAAGAUCGAGCAUCUGGGAUUCCGGCUGUCCAGCUCUUUUCCGAAAAUGCUUAUCUACUGUAUGGAUAAUUAAAUCAUCAAUCAGAAAGGGUCGGACCUAUUGAUGCUUUUGUUCAAAGCCAAUCAGAUCCCAGGGAGCAAGACAUAGCAGAAGAUGGAGAUGUGAAACAUCUGGAAUUCAGAAAUUUUCCAAAGACUGUAGAUCAUUAACCAAUUCUGAGGCCGAAUCCGCUGGGAGAAGUUUAGUGUCUGACGUCUGAUGUCAUUCGUGUCUUAGUUUAUUCAUCGCUAAUGAAUACGUAUUAUUAUGAUUAUUAUUAUUAUUAUUAUUAUUAUUAUUAUUAUUAUUAUUAAUGUUGUUGUUUUGUUAUUAUUAUUAGUAGUAGUAGUAUUAGUAUCGAUAAUAAUGAUAAUUAUGGUGGCAGUUGGGUUUUUUAUUUAAUUUUUACUGUUUUUUGAGGAUAUACACGUUUAUAUGUUUAUUAUGAAUUUAAAAGGAAUAGUAAAAUUAUCAUCCCAUGUUAUAUAAAAGAGGCUGGAUUAAUUUAUAUUUUAAUUACACCUUUUUUUUAUUAAAAGUAGCGAAUUUGUUCGUUUGUUAUUCAUUGAUUUUUGGUUUGUCUGUUUAGUCAUAAUUUGCAGGCAUGUACCAGAAGAAAUGCCAAACGCUUCCUUUCAGCGCAUUCAGGGGUAAGUAAAAACCUUGAUACUGUCUUUAAAAAUAGACAUUGCCUUUUAGCAUGCAUUUUAAUCCAGAGUAAGCUAUUUCCGCACAGUCUACUCUGGAGCGUUACGCGACCGUCCGAUUUACUGGAUGAGUUUGUGGAAGUAGUCUACAGUACGUCUUUUAUGUCGCCGAUUCCUUUUUCUCUUCAGAAUUUAUAAAUAAUUUGGAAAGAUCAACGCGUUCGUUCCAUACCGCAGACAGGUUGCAGAUGGACUGAUUAAAUCCAUGUGUGCAUCAAAUGUGGUUAAAUUAAAAACAACAUCAGCGACACGGACACCCUGACAUUAGCACACUUCGCAGUGCUAUCACUCAGUUAGCAGCUUGUUAAUUAACCCCUUCCACAAAUAACUUCGUUCUCUUUUCGUUUGGAUAUCAUGUAUGGCGUAAAACAGAAUUGCCACAUACGAUGAACCUAACGGGACCCAGUAGUCACACUGUUCUUAAUGAAUUUGUCAAUGCGGAAUGAACGUAUCCCCCUUUCUCUGUUUCCAAUAGCUGAAUCGAUUGCCUUAAACGUCGUGUGUAUACCGGUAUUGUGAAGAAUGUUAGAAAGUGUUACAUUGUAAAUACCAGACUUUGGUUGAAGAAGUGAGAUUAUUAUUUUACUGUGUCCGCAGUGUAGUCAAUUCAUGAGUGUUUUACAAUACAUUAAAAUAAUAAAACAAUGUAUUUUAAGUCAAGUAGAUACGUGUAUUUGCUUACCAUCUGCAGUACAAAUACAAAUACUUUGAUGUUCAAUUAAAGCCUUCAAUUAGAGCUGGAAUUUAAGAAAUUUAUACCAUAUACGGUUAUGUUUUAAUUGUUUACAAAGGUGAUACAAAAAUAAAAUAGCUUUUUGAAUAUACAGUGUAACAAACUGCUUUUAUAUUAGUCAUAUUUUUCACAGAUUUCUUUGUAUAGGCGUAGGCCUAUGUGACGUUCAAAAUGUAACUAGUCUGUAGUUGUCUUGAUGUGGAAAAGUUUGCAUGUACAUGAUAUUGUGGUUAAUACUAUAAAUAAACAUGCUGGAUGUGAGUUUGA